AUACGUAGGUGACAAGCGUUAUCCGGAUUUACUGGGCGUAAAGGGCGUGUAGGCGGUCUUGCAAGUCAGAAGUGAAAUUCCUGAGCUCAACUCGGGCGCUGCUUCUGAAACUGCAGGACUUGAGUGCUGGAGGGGAUAGCGGAAUUCCUAGUGGAGCGGUAAAAUGCGCAGAUAUUAGGAAGAACACCGGUGGCGAAGGCGGCUAUCUGGACAGUAACUGACGCUGAGGCGCGAAAGCGUGGGGAGCAAACAGGAUUAGAUACCCUGGUAGUCCACGCAGUAAACGAUGAUGACUAACCGUCGGUCAAGACUGAUCGGUGGCCAAGCGAAAGCGAUAAGUCAUCCACCUGGGGAGUACGACCGCAAGGUUGAAACUCAAAUGAAUUGGCGGGG
rnacentral:rRNA from 1 species